CACACGCAUAUACAUUAUGAGCACGCAAAUAUAUUCAUGUGGUGCAGCUGGCUUGGCACUACCUUAAAAAUGGUUGCGCUCUACACCACGUGACGCGAUUCCUGGAAAGUUCUUGGAAAUCGGUCUUUUGUGUAUAGCUGUGGGUUUAAUGGGGAUUUGGUUAUUCAAAACACAUACCGAAGGAAGGGGAUUCAACGCCGCGGAAAAGACUGUCAUUGGGAUUUGUACUAAACACAAGACAAGCGUGGUUUGGUGACUUUCUGCAUGGUAUUUUAAAUCUUAACAUUACCAGCAGCAAGCGAGUCGUGCGGAGUCGACUUGCCUCGUUCGCUGUCAUCGCCUGUUUUGCACCACGGGUUGGAAAAUAUUCUUAGUUUGCCAUCUCGCCAAAAAUGACAACCGAUUGAUUAGCCCGCCAGAAGAUAAAUAUUACCACAUGGAAAACGAACUAUGUAAUCUGUCAUCUUUCAAUGUGAUCGACAUGGCUAAACUAGCUAGCUGUUCCAUGGAAGUGUAUAGUUAACGAACGGUUUUGUGCUUUGUUUAUUCAUCUUAGUCCCCUUUUCUUUAGGGAGAAGUGUGUAUUUCAAUGGUCAUCGGUUGAGUCGUUUGGGGCUGGAUCCACUCGCAAAUAGGACGAUUCAUUCAUAAAAUUCGAGAAGAAACCUGCAGAAGAAACUUGUUUUGCGACUGUGGGGCAACUGCCUGUCUUUUGGGGAAUCUUUUUGCAUUUGUCGGAUGUCUUUUGGCCUACGGCUGGGCAAUUUCGGGUGGUUCCCCAAUGACCUGCCACUCACCCGAAUCCACCGAGACCAUCGAAAAUGAGAGAAGAACGGAUACCGAGUCGCGAGUUGUUGACUCCGAUGAGACUCGCAUCGGUCAAGCCAYGAAAGACCUUAAAAAUACAGGAUUGCCAUUAUUGGAAUGCUGUGGAGAGGGGGGAUCAUGAAGAUCUUGUCCAAUGUGAUCUUAAAAUGGAGGUGGUCAUUUUAUUAGGCUGGUACUGGCAGCCUGCACCGCCACGAAGCCAAAGA